ACUUCAGAUGGUGUGGCUCCGGGGAAGGAUCAUCUUCUUUCCACACCAUAGCCUUUCCCACUCCCAUCCCACUGAGAGCCAUUAUCCAAUAAAAUCCUCCACAUACACUACCCUACCCUUCAAUACGUUCAUGGGACCUAAGUUUUCUUAGACGCCGGACAAGAACCCAGGUGCCAAGAGGGCAGAGGCUCGAACGCUGCUGCGGGCCACACAGCGCCUGCUCCCGCCAGCGAGGAGCGACUGGCCAGAUUCAGCGUUUGUUACCUCCAGUUCCCGCAGUCUCUGGCUCUCGCGCUUCCUCUCGUGGGGCGUGGCUAGCGGCGGCCUGACUGAAAGGAGCCACCCCAGUUUCCGCCCACCAAGGAGGCCGAGGGAACAAUCCCAUCUCAUCUGGAGGCCCGUCCGGGAUGCAGCAGACGAGCGACUUACUAUACACCUUGAAGUGCUCUGAUGGAAGGUAUGGAAACCUCUGAAAGGAAGCCGUCCAAGUAGGAACUGUCAACAAAAAUGUCUUGUAUGAGUCGACACUGUAA